UACGUAGGGGGCAAGCGUUAUCCGGAAUCAUUGGGCGUAAAGCGCGCGUAGGCGGCCCGGUAAGUCCGUUGUGAAAGUCAAAGGCUCAACCUUUGAACGCCGAUGGAUACUGCCGGGCUAGAGUCCGGAAGAGGCGAGUGGAAUUCCUGGUGUAGCGGUGGAAUGCGCAGAUAUCAGGAGGAACACCAAUAGCGAAGGCAGCUCGCUGGGACGGUACUGACGCUGAGGCGCGAAAGCGUGGGGAGCGAACAGG
rnacentral:rRNA from 1 species